rfam:Triticum aestivum genome assembly, contig: Triticum_aestivum_CS42_TGACv1_scaffold_289704_4AL
AUUAUACUCCCUCCGUCCCAAAAUAAGUGACUCAAUUUUUUUAAAAAACAAGUGACUCAAUUUUAUACUAACUUUAGUACAAAGUUGAGUCACUUAUUUUGGAACGGAGGGAGUAUAAA